rnacentral:rRNA from 1 species
GACGAACGCUGGCGGCGUGCCUAAUACAUGCAAGUCGAACGCAGUGGGGACGGGUGAGUAACACGUGGGUAACCUCCCAUCAGAGGGGAUAACACUUGGAAACAGGUGCUCAACCGAUACGGCUGGAUGGACCCCCGGUGCAUUAGCUAGUUGGUGAGGUAACGGCUCACCAAGGCCACGAUGCAUAGGCGACCUGAUAGGGGGAUCGGGAGAACAGGGAUUGGGGGACGCCCCAUACUCCUACUGGAGGCAGCAGUGGGGAAUAGGCGGCCAUGGACGAAAAUCUGACCGAGGAACGCCACGUGAGUGAAGAAGGUUUUCAGAUCGUAAACCUCUUUUGUAAGGGAAGCGGAAUCUAACCAGAAAGCCACGGCAAACUACGUGCCAGCCGCCGCGGUAAUUC